CGCGGCCACCCCAUCCACUCGGUGCCCGUCGGUCACCUCGGGCGAAGCCAAGAGCCCCCACCAAGCAUCCAAGAAAGAGAGAACCGAGAGAGAGAGAGAGUUUCGCUGUCGGUCAGAGAUGACGAUGGAGCUUGUCCGUGACGCGCGUCACCGGACCUCGGCAUCGGGCUAGGGAGAUCGGCAAGUUCACGCUGGACGCCGGGGGUGUUCCCUGUGCUUACGGUGUUGGGAGGGCACCGCAUUAUCACCGCGUGAAGAAGACCGAGUGGGGCUGCCGUAGUGCGGCGCUGCUCGUCCCUAGGCCGAGCCACGCGGUGAGAUCACGUGGAUCUGAAGAAUCAC
rnacentral:lncRNA from 7 species